UAGGGAAUCUUCGGCAAUGGGGGCAACCCUGACCGAGCAACGCCGCGUGAGUGAAGAAGGUUUUCGGAUCGUAAAGCUCUGUUGUAAGAGAAGAACGUGUGUGAGAGUGGAAAGUUCACACAGUGACGGUAACUUAACCAGAAAGGGACGGCUAACUACGUGCCAA
rnacentral:rRNA from 1 species